UUUCUACUCCCUCCGUUCCAAAUUACUCGUCGCUGAAAUGGAUGUAUCUAGAACUAAAAUACAUCUAGAUACAUCCAUAUGUGAGACAAGUAAUCGGAACGGAGGGGGUACAAU
rfam:Triticum aestivum genome assembly, contig: Triticum_aestivum_CS42_TGACv1_scaffold_392955_5AS